AGCGAACGCUGGCGGCAGGCCUAACACAUGCAAGUCGAACGAACUCUUCGGAGUUAGUGGCGGACGGGUGAGUAACACGUGGGAACGUGCCUUUUGGUUCGGAAUACCUCAGGGAAACUUGUGCUAAUACCGAAUGUGCCCUUCGGGGGAAAGAUUUAUCGCCAUUAGAGCGGCCCGCGUCUGAUUAGCUUGUUGGUGAGGUAACGGCUCACCAAGGCGACGAUCAGUAGCUGGUCUGAGAGGAUGACCAGCCACACUGGGACUGAGACACGGCCCAGACUCCUACGGGAGGCAGCAGUGGGGAAUCUUGCGCAAGGGGCGAAAGCCUGACGCAGCCAUGCCGCGUGAAUGAUGAAGGUCUUAGGAUUGUAAAAUUCUUUCACCGGGGACGAUAAUGACGGUACCCGGAGAAGAAGCCCCGGCUAACUUCGUG
rnacentral:rRNA from 1 species